rnacentral:rRNA from 1 species
AGAGUUUGAUCAUGGCUCAGAUUGAACGCUGGCGGCAUGCCUAACACAUGCAAGUCGAACGGUAACAGAACUAGCUUGCUAGUUGCUGACGAGUGGCGGACGGGUGAGUAAUAUAUAGGGAUCUGCCUAAUAGUGGGGGACAACGUGUGGAAACGCACGCUAAUACCGCAUACGCUCUACGGAGGAAAGUGGGGGAUCUUCGGACCUCAUGCUAUUAGAUGAACCUAUAUCGGAUUAGCUUGUUGGUGAGGUAAUGGCUCACCAAGGCGACGAUCCGUAGCUGGUUUGAGAGAAUGAUCAGCCACACUGGGACUGAGACACGGCCCAGACUCCUACGGGAGGCAGCAGUGGGGAAUAUUGCACAAUGGACGAAAGUCUGAUGCAGCAAUGCCGCGUGUGUGAAGAAGGCCUUCGGGUUGUAAAGCACUUUCAGAUGUGAGGAAAAGCAGUCUAUUAAUACUAGAUUGCCGUGACGUUAACAUCAGAAGAAGGACCGGCUAACUCCGUGCCAGCAGCCGCGGUAAUACGGAGGGUCCAAGCGUUAAUUGGAAUUACUGGGCGUAAAGCGCGCGUAGGCGGAUAUUUAAGUCAGAUGUGAAAUCCCUGGGCUCAACCUAGGAACUGCAUUUGAAACUGGAUAUCUAGAGUAUGGUAGAGGUGAGUGGAAUUUCAGGUGUAGCGGUGAAAUGCGUAGAGAUCUGAAGGAACAUCAGUGGCGAAAGCGACUCACUGGGCCAUUACUGACGCUGAGGUGCGAAAGCGUGGGUAGCAAACAGGAUUAGAUACCCUGGUAGUCCACGCCCUAAACGAUGUCAACUAGGUGUGUGAGAGUCUAACUCUUGCGUAUCGAAGCUAACGCGAUAAGUUGACCGCCUGGGGAGUACGGUCGCAAGACUAAAACUCAAUGAAUUGACGGGGGCCCGCACAAGCGGUGGGAGCAU